GGCUCAGGACGAACGCUGGCGGCGUGCCUAAUACAUGCAAGUGGAACGCACAGACUAUACCGUAGUUUACACACUUUAGUCUGUGAGUCGCGAACGGGUGAGUAACGCGUAGGUAACCUACCUCUUAGCGGGGGGAUAACUAUUGGAAACGAUAGCUAAUACCGCAUAACGGGGUUAACACAUGUUAGACCUUUGAAAGGAGCAAUUGCUUCACUAGGAGAUGGACCUGCGUUGUAUUAGCUAGUUGGUGAGGUAACGGCUCACCAAGGCUCCGAUACAUAGCCGACCUGAGAGGGUGAUCGGCCACACGUGGGACUGAGACACGGCCCAGACUCCGUACGGGGAGGCAGCAGGUAAGGGAAUCGUUCGGACAAGUGGGGGGAACCCUGACCGAGCAACGCCGCGUGAGUGAAAAGAAGGUUUUCGGAUCGUAAAGCUCUGUUGUAAGAGAAGAACGGUGGUGUGAGUGGAAAGUACACCAUGUGACGGUAUCUUACCAGAAAGGGACGGCUAACUACGUGCCAGCCGCAGC
rnacentral:rRNA from 1 species